rnacentral:lncRNA from 10 species
CCCUAUAACAAGCCCAUGAGGUAGAUAUUAUUAUGUCAAUGUCACUUUUUUUUUUUUAACAUACACAGAAACUGAGAUACAGAAAUUAAGGACAUUUCUUAAGGCAUCACAGAUAGAAAGUGGCUGAACUGGAAUUUCAAGCCCAAAUGCCUGUCUCCAGGGUUCCUGCACUUUACCACUUCAAGUCUGUCCACACUCCCGCUGAGUCAUCUCACAGCCACUCCUCCAACUGACCUCCUCUGCUUCAAAAUGUUGAGCUUCUUUACAAUUCGACUACAUUUCCCAGCUACCCUGAAAUUAGACAUGUUCAUGUGACUGAUUUGGGCCAAAGAAAUACAGGCAGAAAUGAUGAGUGCCACUUCUAGGAUUGGCCCCUAACAGUCUCCCUCAAGGAAUUCUUCCAUUCUUCUCUAUCUGCUGGCCAGAGGCAGAUGCUCAGGAAGACCUUAGAAAAUGUGACUGGAAGAUGACAGCCCAAGGCCCUGAGUGACUGCAAGGAAUGGAUCUACCCUCUCCUUUACUGCAGACUGUAUUUUAUGAGUAAAAAAUAAACUUCCAUUGUUAAGCCCUUGAGAUUUUGAUGUUUACCUAUAAUAGAGGUUAGUAUUUCCUUAACUAGGAACUGUAUUCAUUUAAUUAAUUUAUUUAUUUUUUUGAGACAGAGUCUCCCUCUGUCACCCAGGCUGGAGUGCAAUGGCGCGAUCUCGGCUCACUGCAACCUCUGCCUCCCAGGUUCAAGCGAUUCUCCUGCCUCAGUCUCCCAGGUAGCUAGGAUUACAGGCGUGUGCCACCACGCCCAGCUAAUUAUUGUAUUUUUAAUAGAGACAACGUUUUGCCAUGUUGGCCAGGAUGGUCUCAAACUCCUGAAUCUCAAGUGAUCCGCCUGCCCAAAGUGCUGUGAUUACAGGCUUGAGCCACCAUGCCCAGCCGGUAUAUUCAUUUCAGAAUUUAUCUUGGAUAUCUUUUCUAUCCAGUACCUCAUUCCUCUUAAUUGCAACACAAUGUUCCACAAUAUAGACAUACCAUCAUUUACAUUACUAUUUUCCUGUUUCCAACUUUUUGCUAUUAAAAUGUUGCAAAUAAUACCUCUGUCUAGACCUCUUUAUAUAGUUGUUUCUUCACAUCUAAAGCAGAUAUAAAGAAAUGGAAUCACUUGAACAAACAGUAGGUUCAUGCUCAAUUGUUGCUGAUACUGCCAAUUUGUGUUCCAAAAUGUCUGUAUGAUUUAUUCUACCAUCAGCUGUGUAUAAGAGUACCUGUUUCCCUGGUCUUCUGCCAAUUUCAAUAAUGAGAAUAAUAAUAUUUCGAAAAACAUUAAGC